CCGAGGUGAACAUAUUCUGGCAGAUACAUUAAUUUGCUCCAUAUAUGUAUUAUGAAUGGGAGAUAAAUUUUGAUGAAAAAUUUUUCGCAAAUUCAAAUCGCGUAGAGUCGUGACGAAGAUUUAUCGUGAAUUAAGUGAGGUGACCGACAACCCGCUUUGCAUGGCGCAUACACGGAGCAAUGGAAUUUCGACAUCCCGUAUCUGGACACGGAAAAAUUUUUCGCAGCGAUGUUGGCGAAAAAUCACAAUAUCCGAACAAAGAAUCCGAGUUGAGAAAAAAAGUUACAGAAAACAAAAACUGAAUAAUAAUCAUUCUUACAAGUUUAUAUGUAUAUCACCAGUUCGGUGCAACUUGAAUACGAUUAUAUUGCGGAAUGAUGUAUUAUGAGACUUUAAAUAUCCAAUGUAUGAAGAAUCCUUACAACGAUAAAUUUGUACUCUAUUGACUUAAUUAGCGCAAUUAUAACUGCAUAAUUAAUCGGUUUAUUGUUGCUCUUCGAGAGAAACUGACACAGGAUAGGCGCACAAAUGGAAUAAAAGUGAAAUAAGCUAA